AUACUUACCUGGCAGGGGAAGCAGCGUGACCACAUAGGCGAGCUCCCCAGGGUAAUUGUCUCUGAUAUGUCCUCCACAGGAGGUCUAUAUUGAGCAGAUUCUUUUUGGUAUUGGGUGGUGGAACCAGAGCGUGCUCCAUCCACUCC
rnacentral:snRNA from 1 species